AACGAGCGUCUUCGCGUUCUGAGAGACCGGGAUCGCCCGGUCCCCGCGCACCUUGAGGUGACUCGUGGCUGGGGAGUGCGAGUGCCUGUGCACGGGCCGGCGAUCUCGUACCGGGGGGACCGGCGGGCGGAGUGGGGCCGCCCGUGGGUUCAACCGGUCAUGCCGGGGCGGGACGCCACUGCCGUGGGGACGGCGGCCCGCCCCGGCGUUCGUGUGCCGGGGCCCGGCCUUUGGACGAGGACCGGCUUCCGAAUGGGGCCC
rnacentral:misc_RNA from 1 species